AUCAACGCUGGCGGCGCGCCUAACACAUGCAAGUCGAGCGAGAAAGUGGGGCAACCCAUGAGUACAGCGGCGAACGGGUGAGUAACACGUGGGUAAUCUACCUCCUUGUGGGGAAUAACCCUGGGAAACCGGGGCUAAUACCGCAUAAGCCCGAGAGGGGAAAGCAGCAAUGCGCAGGGAGAGGAGCCCGCGGCCGAUUAGCUAGUUGGUGAGGUAAAGGCUCACCAAGGCAAAGAUCGGUAGCCGGCCUGAGAGGGCACACGGCCACACUGGCACUGAAGCACGGGCCAGACUCCUACGGGAGGCAGCAGUGGGGAAUCUUGCACAAUGGGGGCAACCCUGAUGCAGCGACGCCGCGUGAGCGAUGAAGCCCUUCGGGGUGUAAAGCUCCUUCGGCAGGGAAGAUGAUGACGGUACCUGCAGAAGCAGCUGCGGCUAACUACGUGCCAGCAGCCGCGGUAAUACGUAGGCAGCAAGCGUUGUUCGGAGUUACUGGGCGUAAAGGGUGUGUAGGCGGUUGUUUAAGUUUGGUGUGAAAUCUCCCGGCUCAACCGGGAGGGUGCGCCGAAAACUGAAUGACUCGAGUGCGGGAGAGGAGAGUGGAAUUCCUGGUGUAGCGGUGAAAUGCGUAGAUAUCAGGAGGAACACCGGUGGUGUAAACGGCUCUCUGGACCGUAACUGACGCUGAGACACGAAAGCGUGGGUAGCAAACAGGAUUAGAUACCCUGGUAGUCCACGCCCUAAACGAUGCAUAUUUGGUGUGGGUGAUUCAGUUCAUCCGUGCCGGAGCUAACGCGUUAAAUAUGCCGCCUGGGGAGUACAGUCGCAAGGCUGAAACUCAAAGGAAUUGACGGGGGCCCGCACAAGCGGUGGAGCAUGUGGUUCAAUUCGACGCAACGCGAAGAACCUUACCUGGACUCGAAAGGCAGGUGACCGUCUCAGGAAUGAGGCUGUUCUCCCGCAAGGGACGUCGGUAGAGGUGCUGCAUGGCUGUCGUCAGCUCGUGUCGUGAGAUGUUGGGUUAAGUCCCGCAACGAGCGCAACCCUCGUCCUUAGUUGCCCUGCCGCAAGGUAAUCCGGCACUCGCUAGGAAGACCGCCCGCGAUAAGUGGGAGGAAGGUGGGGAUGACGUCAAGGUCCUCAUGGCCUUUAUGUCCAGGGCUACACACGUGCUACAAUGGCCGGUACAAAGCGUCGCAACCUCGCAGAGGGGAGCCAAUCGCCAAAAAACCGGUCUCAGUUCGGAUUGCAGGCUGCAACUCGACUGCAUGAAGCUGGAAUCGCUAGUAAUCGCAGUAUCAGAACGAUGCGUGAAUACGUUCUCGGGCCUUGUACACACCGCCCGUCACAUCACGAAAGUGGAUUUGUACUAGAAGUCUGCAAGUCGAACCGCAAGGGGAGAUAGCGGUCCCAAGGUAUGAACCAUGAUUGGGGUG
rnacentral:rRNA from 1 species